rnacentral:tRNA from 1 species
UCUAAAAUGGCAGAUUUAANUGCACAAGAUUUAAGCUCUUGAGAUGGAGAUUAUCUUCUUUUAGAA